rnacentral:rRNA from 1 species
UACGUAGGGUGCAAGCGUUAAUCGGAGUUACUGGGCGUAAAGCGUGCGCAGGCGGUUUUGUAAGUCUGUCGUGAAAUCCCCGGGCUCAACCUGGGAAUUGCGAUGGAGACUGCAAGGCUAGAAUCUGGCAGAGGGGGGUAGAAUUCCACGUGUAGCAGUGAAAUGCGUAGAGAUGUGGAGGAACACCGAUGGCGAAGGCAGCCCCCUGGGUCAAGAUUGACGCUCAUGCACGAAAGCGUGGGGAGCAAAUAGG